GAAGGCGGCCAGAGCGGUGGGGCGACACCCGUACCCAUUCCGAACACGGAAGUUAAGCCCACCAGCGUACCGGGAAGUACUG
rnacentral:rRNA from 1 species